CCUACGGGAGGCAGCAGUGGGGAAUCUUGCGCAAUGGGCGAAAGCCUGACGCAGCAACGCCGCGUGCGGGAAGAAGGCUUUAGGGUUGUAAACCGCUUUCAGCAGGGAAGAAAAUGACGGUACCUGCAGAAGAAGGUGCGGCCAACUACGUGCCAGCAGCCGCGGUGACACGUAGGCACCAAGCGUUGUCCGGAUUUAUUGGGCGUAAAGAGCUCGUAGGCGGUUCAGUAAGUCGGGUGUGAAAACUCUGGGCUUAACCCAGAGCCGCCACCCGAUACUGCUGUGACUUGAGUCCGGUAGGGGAGCGGGGAAUUCCUGGUGUAGCGGUGAAAUGCGCAGAUAUCAGGAGGAACACCGGUGGCGAAGGCGCCGCUCUGGGCCGAGACUGACGCUGAGGAGCGAAAGCAUGGGUAGCAAACAGGAUUAGAUACCCCUGUAGUC
rnacentral:rRNA from 1 species